rnacentral:misc_RNA from 1 species
GAUGAAGAACGCAGCGAACUGCGAUAAGUAAUGUGAAUUGCAGAAUUCAGUGAAUCAUCGAGUCUUUGAACGCACAUUGCGCCCCCUGGCAUUCCGGGGGGCAUGCCUGUCCGAGCGUCAUUGCUGCCCUUCAAGCCCGGCUUGUGUGUUGGGUCGUCGUCCCCCCCGGGGGACGGGCCCGAAAGGCAGCGGCGGCACCGCGUCCGGUCCUCGAGCGUAUGGGGCUUUGUCACCCGCUCGAUUAGGGCCGGCCGGGCGCCAGCCGGCGUCUCCAACCUUCUAUUUUACCAGGUUGACCUCGCAUCAGGUAGGGAUACCCGCUGAACUUAAGCAUAUCAAUAAGCGGAGGA